rnacentral:rRNA from 1 species
CCUACGGGGGGCAGCAGUGAGGAAUAUUGGUCAAUGGACGAGAGUCUGAACCAGCCAAGUAGCGUGAAGGAUGACUGCCCUAUGGGUUGUAAACUUCUUUUAUAAAGGAAUAAAACGAGGCACGUGUGCCUUUUUGCAUGUACUUUAUGAAUAAGGAUCGGCUAACUCCGUGCCAGCAGCCGCGGUAAUACGGAGGAUCCGAGCGUUAUCCGGAUUUAUUGGGUUUAAAGGGAGCGUAGAUGGGUUGUUAAGUCAGUUGUGAAAGUUUGCGGCUCAACCGUAAAAUUGCAAUUGAUACUGGCAGUCGUGAGUACAGUAGAGGUAGGCGGAAUUCGUGGUGUAGCGGUGAAAUGCUUAGAUAUCACGAAGAACCCCGAUUGCGAAGGCAGCUUACUAAACUGUGACUGACAUUGAUGCUCGAAAGUGUGGGUAUCAAACAGGAUUAGAUACCCUUGUAGUC